AGAACGCUAGCAGGUGGAUGUUCUGGCUCAGAUGAAAUUCUGACACUAUCAUUGGCAAAAAUGUAGGGUGCACUUUCAGGGGGAACUUUAAAAAAAAUUUUUCAGGAAAGGUACCUUACUAGAGAGUGCCUGCAACUCACUGCCCCUCUAGAAGACGUGAUCACCACCAAAAAAAGUCUUCAAUGUGACGAGUAUGAUGGGAGCUGAAUGCAAAGGGUCAAACGGAGCCGCCAUCAGGAAGGUAAGAACCAAGUUCAAAUCCCAAUCAGGGGCCAUGAAAAGCAAAGGAGAGAAAGAAUGAACCAGGCCCUUCCAAAAGGGGCCACAACAGGGAUGGUAAAAACUGAACCUUGUUCUGGCGUCCUUUUAAACUGGGAAAAAGCCUCCAGACACCCCUUCACUGUGCCCACUUUCAGGCCCCGCUUUGGGUAGGGCCAACGAAAACUCCAUCACAGAGGAGGUGGGACACGACGUGGUGGGACUCGACACUCAGACCCCAGAAAAGGUGUUGGUUGAUAUAGACAGCAGGACGGUGGCCAUCGAAGUCAGAAACUGCUAAGGAGUGUGUAACAACUCAUCUGCUGAAUCAACUAGCCCUGAAAAUGGAUGGUGCUAGAGCAUCAGGCCCAUACCUGGCCUUCGCCACCACUGAGAGUGGCAGGGGCUAUGCCGCAAAGACUAGGGCCACUGCAGUGUGCACGGAGGCCCAGUACGAGGGGCCGGGGGAGCCGCCGCAGGUGCAGAUCUUGGUGGUAGUAGCAAAUAUUAAAACAAAAACUUUGAAGGCCGAAGUGGAGAAGCGUUCCAUGUGAACAGCAGUUGAACAUGGGUCAGUCGGUCCUAAGAAAUGAGUGAGCGCCAUUCGGAAGUGACAGACUACUGUCUCCGUUGCCCUCAGCCGAUCGAAAGGGAGUUUGGUUCAGAUCCCCGAACAUGGAGUGGUGGAGAUUGGCGCCCUCACGAUGUUCAGUGCAGUAACUGGAGAAGCCGGCAGGAGCCCCCGAGAGAGUUCUAUUUCUUCGUGAAGGGCAAGGCACCCUGGAAUGUGUUUGCCCUGAGAGAGGGGCCCAAGCCUUGGAAAGCAUAGCUGUUCCGGUGGCAUCCAGUAAGCUCUUGCUGGUCCUUGAAAAUCCAGGGGAGAUGGUGUAAAUCUCACGCCGGGCCGUACCCAUAUCUGCAGCAGGUCUCCAGGUGAACAGCCUCUGGCAUGUUGGAACAUUGGAGGUAAAUGAAGUCAGCAAAUCAGAUCCAUAACUUCGGGAUAAGGAGGGCUGGGUUGAUCAGGCUGUAGUGCGAAGCGGGGCUAGGCACAAGAGUCAGGCCCAUCCUGUGGAUCGCCCCAGAUGCGGUGGUCGCCUCCUGGGGAUCAGGGCCUUCGUUCAGCCUCGGUCCGUGCCUAGCAAGCAUUGUAAAGGCCCACGGUAGGUGUUGACGCGAUGUGUUUUCUGCCCAGUGCUCUGAAUGUCAAAGUGAAGAAAUUCUAAGAAGCGCGGGUAAAUGGCGGGAGUAACUACGACUCUCUUGAAUCAGACAGAGCACUCCGGGAUGCCUGCGGGACGUAGGACCUGCAACGAGCUCCACAGUCUAGCCAUGGAGGGAUGAUUGCACCCGUAAUCCAAGCUCUCUCGAGACAGACUCCUAAACUGAUUCUGUUCAGGGAUUCAGAAUCAGACUGAUCUAUUAUCCAGAUGGUUGUGUUGGACCGUGAAUCCAACAGGGCGGGCGCCUGCCCUCCAAAGUUGUAGAUUUAUGUAAAUGUUUAAUUCUGUAUAUAUAUAUAUAUAUAUAUAUAUAUAUAUAUAUUAUAUAUAUAUAUAUUGAGGUGUCUCAAGUGAUUUGUUACAUAUAUGUUCAUCUGCUGUAUGUACUGUACCAGGUAUGCCUAUAGUAUUGUGCAUGAUUAUGCCUCAGCUUGUUAAAAAAACAAGAAAUGUCAGCUGACGGCAGCAAUUAACCUGGAAUGAGCAACUGUGGUCUUAAAAAAAUAGCCAAAUGCCUCAUCAUCUUAUUAGUGAUACGCAUGAAUUGAUGAACGAGAUUCCCACUGGCCCUACCUACUAUCUAGCAAAAACCACACCCAGGGAAUGGGCUUAGUAGAAUCUGCAGGGAAAAAGACGACGUUGAGCUGGACUGGCGUAAGGUAAGUGGAAGGUCCUCGGGCCACCAGUGAAAUAACACUACACAUCGUUUUUUCACUUACCCAGUGAGGCGUGGGGGGGUGAGCCCCAUGGGGUUCUGACUUCUGGCUCCAAGCACCGGCGAGCGCAAUCCACUCUGGGGACAGUGGCAGGAGGGGAGUUUGACAGGGGCCGUGCACCUGUCAAACGACAACACAGGUGUCCUAAGGCGCGCUCGCGGAGGAAAGAAACCUUUACGCAGAGCAGAAAGGCAAAGCUCACUUGAUCUCGAUUUUCAGUAUGAAUACAGACUGUGAAAGCGGGGCCUCACAAUCCUUCUGACAUUUUGGGUUUCAAGCAGGUGGUGUCAGAAAAGCUACCACUGGGAUAACUGGCUUGUGGCGGCCAAGAGUUCAUAGCAAGGUUGCUUUUUGAUACUUCGAUGUCAGCUUUUCCUAUCAUUGUGAAGCAGAAUUCACCAAGCGUUGGAUUGUUCACCCACUAAUAGGGAAUGUGAGCUGGGUUUAGACCAACGUGAGACAGGUUAGUUUAAACCUACUGAUCAUGUGUUGUUGCAAUAGUAAUCCUGCUCGGUACGAGAGGAUCACAGGUUCAGACAUUUGGUGUAUGUGGCGAAGCUACCAUCUGUGGGAUUUUGACUGAACGCCUCCAAGUCAGAAUCCUGCCUAAACCAUAAUGAUACCGCAGUGCUGUGGAGUCUCGGUUGGCCUAGGAUAGCCGGCCUCUGGGCAGGUGUGUAGAGCCGCUCGCCACGGGACUAGAGUGUGGACAGAAGGGGGCAGCCGCCUCUCUC
rnacentral:rRNA from 1 species